ACCACAGCCACAGCCACAGCCACACAGGAUCUGAGCCGCGUCUGCAACCUACACCACAGCUCACGGCAAUGCCACAUCCUUAACUCACGGAGCGAGGCCAGGGAUCAAACCUGCGUCCUCAUGAAUGCUAGUCAGAUUGGUUUCCACUGAGCCAUGACAGGAACUCUGAGAAUUUUUAACUAAGGUAGAGACAUGAUCAGGUUUUCAGAGACUUUUCUGUUGUACAGAAAUGGAGAAGACAUUAGAGAAGGGAAACCAACUAAGGCAUGAUUAUGUAUAUAGUUAUAUAAGAGAAGCGCUGAUUCACUGAUUUAAUUGCUCUGUGGUAUUCCAUUGCGGGAAUAUGCUAUAAUUUAUUUAUGCAUUUGCCAACUGAAGGAUAUUUAGGUUGUGUCCAGUUGUUUAGUAUUACAAAAAUGCCUUAAUGAAUGGUCUUAUCAGUUUCUCCAAGUACUCAGGUGCCUCCCAUGAAAUACAGGUGGAAUUGUUAAGUCAUGGUGAGCGCGUGCCUUCAGGUUUACUAAACAUGGCCCCGUUUCUCUCUCCAAAGUUAUUGCAAAAAUGUUCACUCCUGUCAGUAUUUUAUGAAAGUUCCCAUUGGUCUACAAUCUCAUCAACCCUUGACAUUAUCAAAAUUUUAAAAUUUCGGUGGGUGUAAAAUGGCAUUUCAUUGUUUUUCUAAUUUGCAUUUCUUGAGAUUAUUAGUGAGGUCAUGUACCUUUUCCUAUUUCUCUUGGUCACUGAGAUUUCCUCCUCUGUGAAUUUGGCACAUCCCCUUGGUUUUUCUAGUUGGCCGCUUGACUUAUUUUUGUUGCCGUAUAUACCCAUUCCAAUUCUUUGUCAACUGUAAGCUUUACAAAAAUCAUCUCCUAAUCUGUGGCUUAUUUUUUCACUUUUUAAUGAUGCCCCUUGCUAUGUGGUGCAUCUGUUUUGCAAUGCUCCCGUAACAAUAUCCCACAAAAUGUGUGGCAGCUUAAAACAGCAGAUCCGUUAUGUUACAGUCUACAGGACAGAAGUCUGAAAUGGCUUUCACUGAACUAAAAUCAACAUGUCAGGAGGGCUUCAUUUCUUUAGGCUCUGAGAAUCGGUUUCCUCUCCCUUUCCACCUUCUAGAGCAUUCCUUGGCUUGGAGCCCCUUCUGCCAACCUCAAUGGCAGACACAUAUAAUCUCCAAAUCUCUCCCUCGCUCUGACACUCCUGUGUCCCUCUUAUAAGGACCUUGGAUCAGCCCAAGCUGUUCAAUAGUCCUCCUUCCCUACUGAUGUGCUAUGCCAUCUUUAGCGUAUAGCAAGUUUUUGUAAACACAUGGGCUUCGUUCUGGGCUCUUGAUUCUGUUCUUUGAAUUAUUUUCUCCUUUGCUUUUCAAAGUGGUGGUUCAUGGACCCGUAGCAUCAGCAUCACCCGGUGGCUUGUUGGGAUGCACACUCAAGCCGCAUCGCAGACCUCCUCAAUUAGGAUCUGUGAUUAACAAGAUCCCCAGGGGAUUCCUGGGCGCCUGGGAGUUUGAGAAGCCCUAGUCCACUGGUGCUUUUGAAAUCUUAAUUACUAUACCUUUAUUUCAAGCAUCGAUGUCUGGGAAGUCCGGUGCUCCUCUUUGUUCUCCUUCCUGUUGAAUUCAUAGUUUAAUUUAUGGAGGACUGAAAAUUUUAUAGUAAUUGAAGUCAAUUCAUAACUUUUCAGAUUUCACUUAUUUAGGUCUUCUUUUAUGUUUUUCAGUAAACUGGUAAUUGUCUUCACAGAGAUUUUGAGUACCCCUUUUUUGUGGGUUUUAUUCCUAGGAAACUUAUAGGUAUUAUUGAAAAUGUUUUUAUUACCUUUUCUAAUUGUUGCAGGUACAUUGGAAUGUAAUCUGUACUUGCAUAUUGAUCUAGCAACUUUGCAGAACGUUUUUAAAUUAAUGCUAAUAGUGUUUCCAUAGGUUCUUUUUUCUUUUUUGUGGAUAAUACAAUUGUCUGUGAAUAAGAAUAGCUUUGUUUCUUUCCCCGCCUUUUCAACUUUUAGUUAUUUUCCUCUCAUUAAUUCACUAGCUAGGAUUUCCAAUAUAAUGUUGAGUAGAAGCAGUGAAGCAGUGAUGGUCUUGACCCUAAAUUAAAAGAGAUCCAACAUUAAGUUAGAUGUUUGCAGUAGUUUUUCUAUGGAAUACACUUUAACAGGUUGAGAGAAUGUUCUUCAUUUCUGAUUUGUUAAAAUUUUUCUAAAAUUAUGAAUGGCUAUCAGCGAGGUCAUGGAUUGAACCCGCAUCCUUAUGGAUACUACGGUAGGUUCUUAACCUACUGAGCCACACGGGAACUCCCGUUUCCUUAUUUUAAAUACUCCUUCUUUGGGGUACCCAGGGCUAGUGUUGCAAGACCCAAAUGAAACAUAUUUUUCUGUUCUUCUUCAGGAGGCUCAGAUAUUUCAGUGAUGUGAUGAGGAGAACGGCCAUAAAAGUUCAGAUCACACAAGUAUUCAAAAAAUAUUUAAAUACCUAUUAUGUGCCAGCUAGAAGCAAGAAUUAAAAAAGAGUACAACUGGAAUCUUUUCUCAGAGAGUGAGCACUGUGUGAUGUCUAAAAGUCCUAGAGUCAGGUUAACUUUUUAUAAGCAGUUAGUCUUGGGUAAAUGGCUUAUUUAAGCUCAUUGGGCUUCAAUUAUCUCAUUUGUAAAAUGGAAAUAAUAAUAGAAAUGUCUAAUCGAUUUUGCAAUGAUUAAGAUGCUUUGGCUCUAAGUAACUUAAUUCAAUUUAAACAGUAAGGAAAAUAUACAUGCUCACAUCAAAAAAGUCCUGGUACUUCUAGGUUGGUUACCUCAGUAAUCAAUGACACCAUCAAAAACUCAAUUACCUUUCCAUUUCUUGGUUCUGACAUUUUCUUUAUGUCUUUUUGGUCUCAGGCUAAUUCCCCUCCUAAUUGCAAAACGAUUGCCAAAGUGUCUGGCAUCCAGGAGUUAUUGAGAAGCACCCCCCCACUCUGUAGACUCCUGCAUAUCUCAUGGCCAGAAUUUCAUUCCAGGUCUAUGCUGAAACCAGUCACUCGAAGAGAAAUGGAGUCACAGUAAUUGGUUUAGACCAGUUGAGAUAUAGCUUUCUUUGAGUUACUCAGAAGAGUAGGAGACACUCAGAUGGAAGGAGGGUUCUGCCAGCCAUGAAGGGAGGAACUAGUGGUUUGGUGGGCAACAGGGGUGUCUGUGAGAGGGCUGUUGUUCAACUGUACUGAGAUCAUUUGUGUAGUUCUUGGCAUGGUACUUGGUGCAUAGCAAGCACUUGAUCAAUGUUAGCUGUUCUUAUUUCUCAGGUUGCAAGUAUGUUAGCAAUCUAGGUGAGUUUUUAAAAACUGUAUUUUUCUCAUGGUGUUGAAUGACAGAUGUAAACAAGGUGGUCACAGGAGCACAAAGGAUUCCCUAGGCUGGGGAUGAGAAAGGGACUGAAGGGUGAGGAGGGAUGGAGAGUCCGUCAAGAAAAGCUGCUCAGAAAGAUGCUCCGGAGAUGAGUCUUGAAAGACAAAGAGCAGUAAACAGAUUUUUAAAAAUUAUGUUUUAAAAUUAAGGUAUGGUUUAUUUACAAAGUUGUGCCAAUUUCUGCUGUACAACUAAGUGAUCCAGUCAUACAUAUAUCUACUUAGACAUUCUUUUUCUCAUAUCAUCCCCAUCAUGUUCUAUCCUAAGAAAUAGGAUAUAGUUCCCUCAUCUCAUUGUCCAUCCAUUCUAAAUGUAAUCUACUAACCCCUAACUCCCAGUCCAUCCCACUCCCUCCCUUCCCCUUGGCAACCACAAGUCUGCUGUUCAUGUCUGUGAGUCUAUUUCUGUUCUGUAGAUAGGUUCAUCUGUGCCAUAUUUUAGAUUCCACAUCUAAGUGAUAUCAGAUGGUAUUUGUCUUUCUCUUUCUGACUUACUUCACUUAGUAUGAGAAUCUCUAGUUGCAUCCAUGUUCCUGCAAAUGGUAUUAUUUUGUUCUUUUUUAUGGCUGAGUAAUAUUUCAUUGUGUAUAUGUACCACAUCUUCUUAUUCCAUUCAUCUGUCAAUGGACAUUUAGGUUUUUUCCACAUCUUGGCUAUUGUGAAUAGUGCUGCCAUGAACUACGGGUUCAUGUACAUUUUUGAAUUGUAGUUUUGUAUGGAUAUAUGCCUAGGAGUGGGAUUGCUGGAUCAUAUGGUAGUUCUAUAUUUAGUUUUCUGAGGAACCUCCAUACUGUUAUCCAUAGUGGUUGUACCAACUUACAUUCCCACCAACAGUGUAGGAAGGUUCCCUUUUCUCCACACCCCCUCUAGCAUUUGUUGUUUAUAGGCUUAUUAAUGAUAGCCAUUCAGACCAGUGUGAGGUGGUACCUCAUUGUAUAGGUUUUUUCUAAAGGGGGUGGGGAGCUGGAGAUUACCUGUCCUCCAUGUACUUGAAAAUGCCUGGGAAGGAAAAGCCCAAGAAAACCCUUGUAGCCCUGUGUACCCUGAGGACUGGGUGAUGUCAUGACCUUGGAUAUCUUAGAAAAAUUGAUUUUGAGCACAUGUCUGAGUUUACUAUCUUGCUAGCAAAGAAAACCAGCAAGGAAACCAAAGAGUGUGCUGGUUCUGAGGGAGGUUAUAGAGUUGGGGAAAAGAAUUUUGCAUAAGUAGCCAGUUUGAAAGUGAGAAAGAUUGCAAGGUCACUUCACAAGGUCAUAACAAUAUCAAGUGCUUAUUAGUUACACCAAAGGACAGUUGUAGUAGGAUGGUCUAAGAUGCAUGGAUGCUGAUCAUCAGUCAAAAGAGAAAAAUAAAGACAAAAAAUAAUUCUGGCACAUUAAAAAGUAAAUGCUAAGUAUCCACUUCUCUCUGCGUUUGGAACAUCCAGGUUGCAUCUCCAGCAGUAGCGUUUUAUGCCAACAGGUAAGCUGGAAACAGAGCCAACUCUUCAGGGGGGCUGAGCAGAAGCCCAAGUGUGAGGGGAAGGUCAAAGUGGGACUUCCAGUUCUCAGGUUAGACAGUCAUCCCUGGAGAUUUGUUUCAUUUGCACCACAAAGAUGCAAAAUACAGUUUACCAGCUGCCUGGUUUGAGACAACAUUCCACUCCCCCUGCCACCCACCACACCUCUCCCCACUAGUAAUGGAAAAUCAAGCCAUGGCAAUGCUGAGAGGUGGGGAAUUAAAUUUUUUUUAAUCAUGAUAUAUAUUUAUUUUUUUAAUCUUUAAAAUUAUAGUUGACUUACAGUGCUCUGUCAAUUUCUGUUGUACAGCAAAGU
rnacentral:lncRNA from 1 species